rnacentral:misc_RNA from 1 species
GAAAUGCGAUGAGUAAUGUGAAUUGCAGAAUUCAGUGAAUCAUCGAAUCUUUGAACGCACAUUGCGCCCGCCAGUAUUCUGGCGGGCAUGCCUGUUCGAGCGUCAUUUCAACCAUCAAGCCCCCGGGCCUGUGUUGGGGACCUGCGGCUGCCCGCAGGCCCCGAAAACCAGUGGCGGGCUCGCUGUCACCCCGAGCGUAGUAGCAACACCUCGCCCAGGGAGUGCCGCGGGUUCCGGCCGUAAAACCUCGCCCUCGCGGCGAGAACACCCCCCCCAAGGUUGACCUCGGAUCAGGUAGGAAGACCCGCUGAACUUAAGC